CAAGCACUGGAAGGGGCUGCCCAGGGAGGUGAUGGAGUCACUGUCCCCGGAGGUGUUCAAGGAACAACUGGACGUGGCAGUCAGUGCUCUGGUCCAGUUGACAAGGUGGGGAUGGGUCACAGGUUGGACUUGAUGAUGUUCAGAGAC